rnacentral:sRNA from 1 species
UUAAUUUCAUCUCUGGGCAUUGGGAAUCCUGCUGCAGUGCAUCCUCUUGGGCAUGUGGUUUUCAAAGUCUGUGUAUUUCUGAAGUAUCAUAUGACAGGGCUUCUCCACUCCUAUGAUACUUCAGAAAUACACAGACUUUGAAAACCACAUGCCCAAGAGCAUGCACUGCAGCAGGAUUCCCAAUGCCCAGAGAUGAAAUUAAAGGAAGUACACAGGGACAGAGAGAUGAACAGAUAAAGG